rnacentral:rRNA from 1 species
GGGUGCGAUCAUACCAGCACUAAUGCACCGGAUCUCAUCAGAACUCCGCAGUUAAACGUGCUUGGGCGAGAGUAGUACUAGGAUGGGUGACCUCCUGGGAAGUCCUCGUGUUGCACCCC